GACGAACGCUGGCGGCGUGCUUAACACAUGCAAGUCGAACGGAAAGGCCCUGCUUUUGUGGGGUGCUCGAGUGGCGAACGGGUGAGUAACACGUGAGUAACCUGCCCUUGACUUUGGGAUAACUUCAGGAAACUGGGGCUAAUACCGGAUAGGAGCUCCUGCUGCAUGGGGGGGGUUGGAAAGUUUCGGCGGUUGUGGGUGGACUCGCGGCUUAUCAGCUUGUUGGUGGGGUAGUGGCUUACCAAGGCUUUGACGGGUAGCCGGCCUGAGAGGGUGACCGGCCACAUUGGGACUGAGAUACGGCCCAGACUCCUACGGGAGGCAGCAGUGGGGAAUAUUGCACAAUGGGCGGAAGCCUGAUGCAGCAACGCCGCGUGCGGGAUGACGGCCUUCGGGUUGUAAACCGCUUUCGCCUGUGACGAAGCGUAAGUGACGGUAAUGGGUAAAGAAGCACCGGCUAACUACGUG
rnacentral:rRNA from 1 species